UACGGAGGGAGCUAGCGUUGUUCGGAAUUACUGGGCGUAAAGCGCGCGUAGGCGGCAUCGCAAGUCAGGGGUGAAAUCCCGGGGCUCAACCCCGGAACUGCCCUUGAAACUGCGAAGCUAGAAUCCUGGAGAGGCGAGUGGAAUUCCGAGUGUAGAGGUGAAAUUCGUAGAUAUUCGGAAGAACACCAGUGGCGAAGGCGACUCGCUGGACAGGUAUUGACGCUGAGGUGCGAAAGCGUCGGGAGCAAACAGG
rnacentral:rRNA from 1 species